rnacentral:piRNA from 1 species
UGGAAAUUUAGUUAACACAGUCCUAGG